AACAGCAGGCAAUUGGUAAGGGUUGGAAAGCCAUUUUUGGUCUAUCACAAUUUGUAUCAUAAAUCAAAGAGUUUCAGCUAGAGUAUCUAUUGCAAGUCGCCUUGAUCUAUUGUACUACAAUACAUUAAACAGCAAUCUUUUGCCAGAUAUUGUAAUACUCCAGUGUGUUGCACACUCAGGCGGCAGCCCUUGAUGAAGGACUCCAUCGGAUCAAUCUGUUGAGUGUCAAGAUCCAGGAACUCUGCGACUAAGAUGGGGUGCGUCCACAGGGAUCUGGGUCUGGCUGGGCAGUUAAACAGGUGACGUGUAUCGUGCGAUGUCUGGUUACAAUCGGGAUAUACAUGUUGCACGUCGGCAUCAAUCCUUGCUUUGUAGGUUCAGACUGCAUCGGCCGGAUAGUAAUUGAGCCAAAACUACUCUGGUUUGCCGGGGAAGUCAAUUUUUUCAGAUGCGAUAAAUAGCUACCGGGUGAAUAUAGUCCUUGGAGAAAAACCGCCUCCCAUUGCACCUGAAAAAAUUGACUCCACCGGCAAACCAGAGUAAUUCUGGCCCAGUUACGAUCAGCAGACGGCAGAUGCAGUCUGAACCUACAAAGCAAGCCGCCACCCAUUGCACCCGAAGAAAUCGACCUCCCCCGGCAAACCAGAGUGGUUCUGGCUCAAUUAGGUUCCGGCAGAUGCAGUUGCCUCAAUUCCCACAGAGCUAGGAUUGAUGCCGACGUGCAAGAUGUAUGUACCGAUUGUAACCACGAUACACCCAAUCUUAGUCGCAGAGUUCCUGGGUCUUGACACUCAACAGAAUCAAGCAGACGAAAGAUAGAACACAAUAAACUGCUACAACAACCAAAUUUAAAAAACCAGAGUUGCGCAGGCUUAGCUUUGGGAGAGUUUAUUCGGGUUUGCGUGACACCAUUUCGGCAAAAGUAUCCAUCAUAAUGAUAACAAAGCCAAAAUAAGACGAAAAUCAAAGCUCUCCUGAUAACAGCAACCAACAAUAUUGCUACUUGCAAAAAAAUACUUGGUGUUUAUACAUAAACUUCUCCAAAUGCAAUUGACCACAUUUUAUAUGUUUAUUUAAUGUUUUCCUUUAUGAAAAGUAUAAAAUGCCAGCAAUAUUAGAUCUAAAAGUA